rnacentral:rRNA from 1 species
GUGCCAGACUCCUACGGGAGGCAGCAGUGGGGGAUAUUGCACAAUGGGGGAAACCCUGAUGCAGCGACGCCGCGUGUGGGAAGACGGUCCUCUGGAUUGUAAACCACUGUCCCCAGGGACGAAAAUGACGGUACCUGGGGAGGAAGCUCCGGCUAACUACGUGCCAGCAGCCGCGGUAAUACGUAGGGGGCAAGCGUUAUCCGGAUUUACUGGGUGUAAAGGGAGCGUAGACGGCGAUGCAAGUCAGAAGUGAAAGCCCGCGGCUCAACUGCGGGACUGCUUUUGAAACUGUAUAGCUUGAGUGCAGGAGAGGUAAGCGGAAUUCCUAGUGUAGCGGUGAAAUGCGUAGAUAUUAGGAGGAACACCAGUGGCGAAGGCGGCUUACUGGACUGUAACUGACGUUGAGGCUCGAAAGCGUGGGGAGCAAACAGGAUUAGAUACCCCGGUA